CAAGUUUAUAUUACACUGUUUGUCUUAACUCCCAGGAUUUAUCUUUAUUGCCUACUAUCACAUUUCGUAAGUGGCUUUUUUCCUAUGGUUUCUGUAAAAGGAACAACUCUAUAAAAGCAGUAGUGUUUACUCAGAUAGAAACUGAAGCUUAACUGAUAGUAACUCUCAGAAACCUAAACAUAAUGCAUCUGGAAUUACCGUGGUAAAGCAAGAAGUCAAUAAAAUGCUUGUUAACCAGAAAGGAAAAUAGGAAAGUGAGUUAACUUUCAGACUUCUAAAUUUUUUACAUGACAAAUAGACUGUUAUCCAUGUUAAAUAUGACUUAAUCAUUAGGGUUGCUUGUAUAAUUAUAUACCACUUAGUGUUAGGAGUUUAUGUGCCUGUGGAUUUGCAGGCACAUUUUUAGGUUUAUUAGGCAAUAGUUAUUACUUUCUAUUUACAUUCUAGAACUGGAAUUGCAUGAAACAGAAUGGAAUUUAGCCUUCAAGCAUGGUGUUAAGUCUCACUGGAUGGGUUAGCAAAAGAGGUGAACAAAUUAAGUGUGCAAGAAUGGCUGAAGUUCAGCAACACGAGUAGAACUGCAGAAUUUUGAAAGCAGCAGUGUGGAAGAAGGAGUCAACAUUAGACUGAAGUCUUUUAUCUGUGGAUAUAUGACAACUGUAAAAAGGCUCUUGUAGGAGUUCUGUGGACGCAAGAAGAAAGAUCUUAUCUAGAAGUUUGAUAAAAGAUUAAUGGUGUCCUAUAUGCUGCUGAAUUCCCUUUUAAUCUAUGAAGAAGGCAUCUUUCAUUAGAGAGACUGAUGACUAUUACUACAAAUAUCCCACAGAGCCUUCGAUUAUGCUGGAAGGAGGGUGAAAAUGACAUGCCAGAAGCUACGCAAGAGAGAUGAUGCACAUUAUUCUAAUUUUAUGAGUGGAAUUACUUUUUGUUCAUUCAAAAAGGAUGAAACCUUACGACUGCUUUACAGAAGUCUGCUGUUACUGAGGUCUGUGUUAUUUAUUUUAAAUUAAGUGUUCUAAUAUUGUUCACAGAGAAGAAAAUAUACUAUGGAAAAACUAGCUCCAAUG
rnacentral:lncRNA from 1 species